UACGGGGGGGGUAAGCGUUGUUCGGAAUUACUGGGCGUAAAGGGCUCGUAGGCGGCCAACUAAGUCAUACGUGAAAGCCCCCGGCUCAACCGGGGAACAGCAUCUGAUACUGGCAGACUCGAGGAUGGUAGGGGUGAGUGGAACUCCAGGUGGAGCGGUGAAAUGCGUAGAUAUCUGGAGGAACACCGGUGGCGAAAGCGGCUCACUGGACCAUAACUGACGCUGAGGUGCGAAAGCGUGGGGAGCAAACAGG
rnacentral:rRNA from 1 species